GGAGGGUGCAAGCGUUGUUCGGAAUUACUGGGCGUAAAGCGCGUGUAGGCGGCCUUUUAAGUCUGAUGUGAAAGCCCGAGGCUCACCCUCGGAAGUGCAUUGGAUACUGGGAGGCUGGAGUACCGGAGAGGAGGGUGGAAUUCCUGGUGUAGCGGUGAAAUGCGUAGAUAUCAGGAGGAACACCAGUGGCGAAGGCGGCCCUCUGGACGGAUACUGACGCUGAGACGCGACAGCGUGGGGAGCAAACAGGAUUAGAUACCCUGGUAGUCCACGCCGUAAACGAUGGGCACUAGGUGUUCGGGGUUUUGACCCCCCCUGAGUGCCGCAGCUAACGCAUUAAGUGCCCCCGCCUGGGGACUACGGCCGCAAGGCUA
rnacentral:rRNA from 1 species